rnacentral:rRNA from 1 species
AUUGAACGCUGGCGGCAGGCCUAACACAUGCAAGUCGAACGGUAACAGGAAACAGCUUGCUGUUUUGCUGACGAGUGGCGGACGGGUGAGUAAUGUCUGGGUAACUGCCUGAUGGAGGGGGAUAACUACUGGAAACGGUAGCUAAUACCGCAUAACGUCGCAAGACCAAAGAGGGGGACCCUCGGGCCUCUUGCCAUCGGAUGUGCCCAGAUGGGAUGUGCUUGUUGGUGGGGUAACGGCUCACCAAGGCGACGGUCCCUAGCUGGUGUGAGAUGAGGGCCAGCCACACUGGAACUGAGCUACGGUCCAGACUACUACGGGAGGCAGCAGAGGGGAAUAUUGUACAAUGGGCGCAAGCCUGAUGCAGCCAUGCCGCGUGUAUGAAGAAGGCAUUCGGGUUGUAAAGUACUUUCAGCGGGGAGGAAGGGAGUAAAGUUAAUACCGUUGCUCAUUGACGUUACCCGCAGAAGAAGCACCGGCUAACUCCGUG